rnacentral:snRNA from 1 species
CCUUGUGGCACAGCUGAAUGCU